UGAGUGGCGGACGGGUGAGUAACGCGUGGGCAACCUGCCUUACACCGGGGGAUAACACUUAGAAAUAGGUGCUAAUACCGCAUAACAGGAGAACAUGCAUGUGUUUUCCUUGAAAACCACGGUGGUGUAAGAUGGACCCGCGUCUGAUUAGCUUGUUGGCAGGGUAACGGCCUACCAAGGCGACGAUCAGUAGCCGGCCUGAGAGGGUGGACGGCCACAUUGGGACUGAGACACGGCCCAGACUCCUACGGGAGGCAGCAG
rnacentral:rRNA from 1 species